rnacentral:rRNA from 1 species
AUUAACGCUAGCGGCAGGCAUAAUGCAUGCAAGUUGAACGGCAGCACAGGUAGCAAUACCGGGUGGCGAGUGGCGCACGGGUGCGUAACACGUAUGCAACCUACCCUAUACAGGCGAAUAACCUUUAGAAAUGAGGGCUAAUACGCCGUGGUAUUAUCUUGGGGCAUCUUGAGAUAAUUAAAGAUUUAUCGGUAUAGGAUGGGCAUGCGUCCCAUUAGUUAGUUGGUAGGGUAACGGCCUACCAAGGCUAUGAUGGGUAGGGG